rnacentral:rRNA from 1 species
AUACGUAGGUGGCAAGCGUUAUCCGGAAUUAUUGGGCGUAAAGAGGGAGCAGGCGGCAGCAAGGGUCUGUGGUGAAAGCCUGAAGCUUAACUUCAGUAAGCCAUAGAAACCAGGCAGCUAGAGUGCAGGAGAGGAUCGUGGAAUUCCAUGUGUAGCGGUGAAAUGCGUAGAUAUAUGGAGGAACACCAGUGGCGAAGGCGACGAUCUGGCCUGCAACUGACGCUCAGUCCCGAAAGCGUGGGGAGCAAAUAGGAUUAGAUACCCUAGUAGUCCACGCCGUAAACGAUGAGUACUAAGUGUUGGAUGUCAAAGUUCAGUGCUGCAGUUAACGCAAUAAGUACUCCGCCUGAGUAGUACGUUCGCAAGAAUGAAACUUAAAGGAAUUGGCGGG